CCCUUAGAUGUCCUGGGCCGCACGCGCGCUACACUGAACGGAUCAGCGCGUUUUCCCUUCCCGAGAGGGACGGGUAACCUGCUGAACCCCGUUCGUGGUAGGGAUCGGGGCUUGCAAUUAUUCCCCGUGAACCAGGAAUGCCCAGUAAGUGCAAGUCAUAAGCUUGCGUUGAUUACGUCCCUGCCCUUUGUACACACCGCCCGUCGCUACUACCGAUUGAACGUUUUAGUGAGGUACUCGGACUGAGCCUCAGAAGAUUCACGUCUUUUGUGCUGCUCGGGAGGAUUCCCAAACUUGAGCGUUUAGAGGAAGUAAAAGUCGUAACA
rnacentral:rRNA from 1 species